GAAAAAAUGUGAGCACAGAGGUAAAGAGAGAAGAAAAGUGAGCCAGGCGCGGUGGCUCACACUUGUAAUCCCGGCACUUUGGGAGGCCGAGGCGGGUGGAUAACUUGAGGUCAGGCGUUCAAGACCAGCCUGGCCAACAUGGUGAAACCCCAUCUCUACUAAAAAUACAAAAAUUACCCGGGUGUAUUGGUGCGUGCCUGUAAUCCUAGCUACUCGGGAGGCAGAGGCAGGAGAAUCGCUUGAACUCGGGAGGCAGAGGUUGGAGUGAGCUAUCUUGCCACUGCAUUCCAGCCUGGGUGACAGGUGACAAAGCAAGAAUCUGUCUCAAAAAAAAAAAAAAAGAAAGAAAGAAAGAAAGAAAAGUGAAAAAUUCCUUUUAUUCCAUUUCCGGCCAAUAUCACCGUUUUCCCCAAUCAUCCCAGACUUCUGGGCGUUUACAUGCAUAAUACAUGUAUGUACCCAGGGGGAUGAUGUCAAGAUCUUUGUUUUGCUUUGAUUUUACAUGAAGGGGAUCAUGCUGACCACAUUGCUUUGCAACUUUUCCCCCAUAACUGUAUAUUCUGGACAUUUUCUCAUGUCAACAAAAAUAGGACUUCCUCUUUUUUUUUUUUCUUUCUUCUAGAGAUGCGGUUUCACUCUGUUGCCCAGGCUAGAGUGCACUAAUACAAUCAUAGCUUACUGCACCCUCAACCUCCUGGGCUCAAGCAAUCCUCCUGCCUCAGCCUCAUGAGUAGCUGGGACUACAGGCACCACUGUGGACCCCUGCUCUGCACCCCCAGGAGGAGUGGGACUGCUUCAAGGGCAGCCUGGAGGAAAGAGGUGUGGUGUGAACACAUACAACAUGUUCCUUAACCAGGAAGGCGACUGGAGUCUUUACCUGGUUUCAAAGCAGCCAAGCCUAGAGGCCCCCACCCCUUGUUCUUUAUUAUGAUUGCCCUUUGACCCCAACCCCCCAAUUCUUUCCUCUCCAGAUCCCCAGCCAUGCAUACUCCAACUUGGUUCUGCAAAGAAUACCCAGCCACAGCUGUGAACUUGGGGAAACACAUUUUUUCUUUUUCUUUUCUUUUCUUUUUUUUUUUUUUUUGAGAGGGAGUCUCACUCUGUUGCCCAGGCUGAGGUACAGUGGCGUGAUCUUGACUCACUGCAACCUCCACCUCCCAGGUUCAAGCAAUUCUUCUGCCUAAGCCUCCUGAGUAGCUAGGACUACAGGCAUGUGCCACCACCCCCAGCUAAUUUUUGUAUUUUUAGUAGAGAUGGGGUUUCACCAUGCUGGCCAGGCUGGGCUUGAACUCCUGGCCUCAAGCAGUCCUCUCACCUUGCCUCCCAAGGUGCUAGGAUUAUAGGCUUGAGCCACCAUGCAUGUGCACGGCCAGCACAUUCAUUUUCUAUACAUAACUGUCUCCCAGCUCUUCAGGCCAACUUACCUGAUAAUGAUAAAAAUAACUAAGCUGCCAUGGAUUGGGCAGUGUGCCAAGUGCUCCAUGUAUAUUACCUUACUUAGUUUUCACAAACUCUAUGAGGUAGGUACCACUAUUAUUUACAGGUGAGGAAAUGGAGGCUCAGAGAGGUUAAGUGAAUUGAUCCAGGCCACACAGCUGGUAAGCGCCAGAGCCACUAGUGGACGCCAGGUCCAGCCAGCCCCCAGAGCCCAUGUGCUGAGCCACUGUGCUAUACUGACUCCCACUUAAUUCUCUCUUCUGGGUUGUCCCAAAGACCAAGUUCGGCUGGCCAAUUUUCCAGGACCAUCUCUCAUGGCACCUGGAGGCUUGUAGGUUCCUGGAGGACUCUCACACCUCCUUCCCACCCUUCUCCAGAUUCUCCAACUCCCUCUUGAGCAGACCCGGCCCCACUCUGGGGCACCCUGCCUUCCUGGGACCUGUCGUAACAGUCACCCACUCUGCCAGGGCCUGGCUGACCCAGGCUGGGGACCGUGGGACCCCUCUGGGCAGUGCCCCCCUACCUGGGCCCAGGUGGGUAUGGAUUUCUUUCUUCUGGGCCAUUGCACCCGCCAGAAGGUGCGGUGGGAGAGGCAGGCCCACAUUUCAGAGGGCCUUGCUGCCCCCAUGUGGCAUGAGGCUGUAGCGGCUGCAGCCUCCUCUUCCCUCCCUCCUGCCACUGCUCCCGAAGCCAAGGCUUUUGCAGGGUUGAAAAGGAAGAGAAAGAGGAGAAGCAGGAAUGUGAGAGAAAUGAGGCAGAGGGAUGGGCUAGGGAAGAGAGAAGCCCUUCUGCGUUACCUGGAAAUGCAGCAACAAUAAUAACAAAGCCAAUGUUAGGAAUGUUUAAAGGCAGCUGCCACAUAGCACUUUUUAUAGCUUGUAGACUCUCUCAUUUAAUCCUGGCACUUACAUCAAUCUGAUUAGUAGCUAUUAUUAGUUUUAUAGGUGAUGAUCCAAGGCGCAAUUAUUUGUUCCCCAGCUAGUAGGUGACAGAGCCCAGAUUGAAUCUGACUCCAGAACCCUAACCACGAUAUUCCCCUGUCUAGAAGGAGCCAGUUCUCUCCUGCAACCCCCACUGCUCAGCCUCUAGGAGUUCCAGCCACCAGCCACCUGCACCCUCCCUUCCAUGUGGCUUUGCCCUCUGUUCUUCUCCUCUCCACUCUCUCUCCAAGGUCCAAGUGGUCAAGGUCAUCCCAAGGGUCUGCUGGGACCGUGUGUCCUUAUUCUGUGCCUUGCUGGUCGCCAACCUUCCCCAUCUGCCAAGGACUGAUGUCCAGCCCAGGCCCAGGUGCAGGUGCCCAGGUCAUUUUUGCCACUGAGUAAAGGGAGACAGAAUGACAGGGUAAAUUACCAACCACCAGAACACCAUGGAGCCAAUAGCAUCAAUGCAAGUGAAGUAUAUUUAUCUGUUGGCCUGAAAACAUGUCCUAGUAUAUUGUCCCAUUAAGCAAAAAGCAGGUUAUAAAGCUGUGUACAUUAA
rnacentral:lncRNA from 1 species